ACAUGCACACUCGAGUCCUUUCUUUCCCCCUAGUCCCCUGAGAAGGAAGGAACACACACACACACACACACACACACACACACACGGCGUUCCUUUGAGAAAGCAACGGAGAACCCAGGAAAAGCCAAAGAAACAUUGAGAGCCUGGGGGUAGGGGCCCGAGAGAGAGAGAUAGGGUCGUCGAGUCUACGCGGAAUUGUAUAAUUCCAGCAUGGAGAGGGGAAUAGAAAACUUUGUUUUUGGAUUCCAAGAACUUCAAGGAUUUCAAGAACAUAUGAAGUUAAAUCAAGGUAACUGAAGCUUCAUCCAUGGACCUGAUUUCUCCUCAUCUCUGACUCUUUAGUAAUCCUUGAACUUGCAUCUAGUCAGAAAGCAAAGACAGAACAGUCAAUAGGAGGAAAAGCUGUCCCUUCCCUUUAGAAAAUAAUAAGGGGAAAAAAAACCACAACGAUGUCAGACAUGAUCAAUCUCACCAGAGGGAUGGGAAUGCCUUCUUCAGGAACUGGUCCUUCAGGCAAGGUCACAGAAUCAAUCAAGAAAUAAGGAGAGCUUCCCUGCAACCACCAACACAUAAUGUAAGUUAAAAAUGAGUGGUUUCAUAAACCAUUGAGGUUUUGAGAGUGAUUAUGCAGCAAAGAUUCAUGAUAAGCACAAUACAUACACUUUUAUCAUGCUUUUCACAUUUAAUAUUUUGAUAGUACAUUAAUUGUCUUUUGUCACAUAACAUUAUCAUCCAAAACUUGGAGGCUUGAAACAGCACCCAUUUACUAUCACACACUCUGUGGAUCCGGAGUUUGGUGCCAGCUUACCUGGAUACCCUGUUUAAGUGUAUAAAGUUACAGUCAACAUGUUGACCAGUAGUGUGGUCUCAUGUGAGACUCAA
rnacentral:lncRNA from 1 species